rnacentral:rRNA from 1 species
AGAUAACCCGCGGAAACGUGGACUAACAUCCCAUGACACUCUAGAGCCGCAUGGCUCUAGAUUUAAAAUUCCGGUGGUACGGGACGGGCACGCGCGACAUUAGGUAGUUGGCGGGGUAAGGGCCCACCAAGCCGACGAUGUCUAGGGGUUCUGAGAGGAAGGUCCCCCACACUGGAACUGAGACACGGUCCAGACUCCUACGGGAGGCAGCAGUGAGGAAUAUUGGUCAAUGGGCGAGAGCCUGAACCAGCCAAGUCGCGUGAGGGACGAAUGGUCUAUGGCCUGUAAACCUCUUUUGUCAAGGAAGAAUAAGGAUGACGAGUCAUUCGAUGCCAGUACUUGACGAAUAAGCAUCGGCUAACUCCGUGCCAGCAGCCGCGGUAAUACGGGGGAUGCGAGCGUUAUCCGGAUUUAUUGGGUUUAAAGGGCGCGUAGGCGGGACGUCAAGUCAGCGGUAAAAGACUGCAGCUAAACUGUAGCACGCCGUUGAAACUGGCGCCCUCGAGACGAGACGAGGGAGGCGGAACAAGUGAAGUAGCGGUGAAAUGCAUAGAUAUCACUUGGAACCCCGAUAGCGAAGGCAGCUUCCCAGGCUCGAUCUGACGCUGAUGCGCGAGAGCGUGGGUAGCGAACAGGAUUAGAUACCCUGGUAGUCCACGCCGUAAACGAUGCUCACUGGAUCUUGGCGAUACAAGCCAGUGUUCAAG